UACGUAGGUGGCAAGCGUUGUCCGGAUUUAUUGGGUUUAAAGGGUGCGUAGGUGGGCAGGUAAGUCAGUGGUGAAAUCGCCGGGCUUAACCCGGAAACUGCCAUUGAUACUAUCUGUCUUGAAUACCGUGGAGGUGAGCGGAAUAUGUCAUGUAGCGGUGAAAUGCUUAGAUAUGACAUAGAACACCAAUUGCGAAGGCAGCUCACUACACGAAUAUUGACACUGAGGCACGAAAGCGUGGGGAUCAAACAGG
rnacentral:rRNA from 1 species